UUGGUUUGAUACGGGUGUUUGGCUCCCUGCUUGAGCAGGCACGGCCACGCGUACAUUCCUUUUCAGUUGUGCGGCAAGGCUUCUAUCGUCUUGAUCGUAUAUGUGGGUUUCCUGUGUUGCAUACCUGAUCAACGGCAUUGUUUUGAUCAAACACGUACCUUUUUCGUCGGGCGUUGCACCACAACGUCGGAUGAACAAUGUAGCAUCCUCUUUGAUCCAUAUAGUCGACGAGCAUUCGUUGAUUGUUUGGCCCGUUGAGGGUGGCUUGGUCUCUCGAAUAUGGAAGCCAAAGUGGGCAUGGGUUCGUAUGAUCCUUUUAUUGCCCUCGUUGAGCUUUCUUGCUUCUCUUACACGACCGCCUUACACGUAUGGCACGUCCCAGCGUGUUUGGCUACGUCGAAGAGGAAUGCUACCUGGUUGAUCCUGCCAGUAGUCAUAU
rnacentral:misc_RNA from 1 species